rnacentral:rRNA from 1 species
UGGGAAUUUUGCGCAAUGGGGGAAACCCUGACGCAGCAACGCCGCGUGGGUGAGGAAGGCCUUCGGGUCGUAAAGCCCUUUCAGCAGGGAAGAAACAAAUGACGGUACCUGCAGAAGAAGCACCGGCUAACUCCGUGCCAGCAGCCGCGGUAAUACGGAGGGUGCGAGCGUUAUUCGGAUUCACUGGGCGUAAAGCGCGCGUAGGCGGUUGGGUAAGUCUGAUGUGAAAGCCCUCGACUUAAUCGAGGAAGUGCAUUGGAUACUGCCUGACUAGAGUGCAGGAGAGGAAGAUGGAAUUCCCGGUGUAGAGGUGAAAUUCGUAGAUAUCGGGAGGAACAACAGAGGCGAAGGCGAUCUUCUGGACUGUAACUGACGCUGAGGCGCGAAAGCGUGGGGAGCAAAC